rnacentral:rRNA from 1 species
CCCGCUGAACUUAAGCAUAUCAAUAAGCGGAGGAAAAGAAACCAACAGGGAUUGCCUUAGUAACGGCGAGUGAAGCGGCAACAGCUCAAAUUUGAAAUCUGGCUUCUCUGAAGUCCGAGUUGUAAUUUGUAGAGGAUGUUUCGGUUCUGGCUCUGGUCUAAGUUCCUUGGAACAGGACGUCAUAGAGGGUGAGAACCCCGUAUGUGACUGGAAGCUGGUAACCAUGUGAAACUCCUUCGACGAGUCGAGUUGUUUGGGAAUGCAGCUCAAAAUGGGUGGUAAAUUUCAUCUAAAGCUAAAUACUGGCCAGAGACCGAUAGCGCACAAGUAGAGUGAUCGAAAGAUGAAAAGUACUUUGGAAAGAGAGUUAAACAGUACGUGAAAUUGUUGAAAGGGAAACGCUUGAAGUCAGUCACGUUGGCCAGAAAUCAACUUGUAACAGGGCGUAAUUUCUGGCUUUACGGGUCAACAUCAAUUUUGAUUGUUGGAUAAAAGUCAAUAUUUAUGCGUUUUCGGACGUGUAGCCUUUGAUUGCAUACAAUGGUUGGGAUUGAGGAACUCAGCACGCCGCAAGGCCGGGUAACUUGUUACCACGUAACGUGCUUAGGAUGUUGGCAUAAUGGCUUUAAUCGACCCGUCUUGAAACACGG